rnacentral:tRNA from 1 species
GGGAAGGUGGCUCAGUGGUAGAGUGCUUGCCUUGCAUGCAUGAGGCAUUGUGUUCCAUUCCU